UGUUCGUGGUAAGUUAUUAACAGUGUUCAUCGCCUCAGUUGUAAACAUUAAGUCGACCAAAAUGUGUUAAUUAAAAUCCAAACUUGGAUGAUUUAAUACUUCACUAGGUCACUACAGGAUUAUGAGUGUUGAUGUUCAUCAGUGCCAGCAGAAGGCUGGUCUUCACAGCCUCAAGAGAGAGGACGAUCUGUCUCAUGGCAGGGCAGGCAGCACCACCACCCGCCGAAGACAGUCCACUCAGCAGAGCCAGGACUUGUCUGUAAACACUUCUACAUCUGGCGAGGUCACGGGUCGAAAGAUUUAAUGGCAUCACAUGCCAGCACUGUAGCUGAAGCCAUCUGCAAUAACAGUCAUUAUUCUAAUUUUUAUACAAUUUAUUGCUUGUCACUGUUGAAGAUGGAGGAGACAACCAUCUCGUUACAGCCUCAUGGAUCGUUAAAAUUGAAGUUGACGGCUCCAAUUGGUUAUUACUGUAGUGUUAAGACAACUACCAUAUUGCUGCCUCGCUGAUCGUGGUUAAUGAAGUUCCUCUUGUCAUUCGUCGAGGACGGUGCCGUAAAGAUGUAAGAUAUGGGCCACAAGACGAAGGUUUGUUUUGGUUAGCGGGUCUCUUGCUGCACCACAUUGGAAACUUUCUGCUAUAACGUAAGGUACAGUACAGUGUAUAUCUUUGUGGCUUUAGUUUUUAUUAAGGAUCUGGGAUCACCGUUUA